UCACCCUUUAGUAAGAGGAAGAAAGGAGAACGAAGAAGAAGAAGUAGAGAGGAGAAGAAGAGAAGGGAAGAGAGAGAAAUUACGGUAGAGAUCGAUUUGCUUGGGAGAUUGCUAGAGGAUUCAGGAAAAAAGAAUCCCAGAUAGCCGUGACAGAGAUUCCUCAGCAUUAGGAGAGAUUGUGGGCCCUGAUAUUCACUGUGAGUGGUAAGAGGAAGAAAAGAGAACGAAGAAAAAGAAGAAGAAGAGAGGACAAGAAGAGAAGGGAAGAGGGAGAAAUUACGGUAGAGAUCGACUUGCUUGGGAGAUUGCUAGAGGAUUCAACAAAAAGGAAUCACAGAUAGCCAUGAGAGAGAUUCCUCAGCACCAAGAGAGAUUGUGGGCCCUGAUAUUCACUGUAUCGUCGUACCGAUGGGAUGUGACUCUACCUCCUCACCCGAGUACGGAGUGACCAACUGGUGGCGGCUAUAAGCAGAAGAGCAUGACUAGGACUGUGCAUGCGACACCUGUGCUGAUGCUACACCUUGAGUGAUUGGGUGUCAUUUUUUGUUAUUUUAAUACCGAAUUAUGAAUAUUAUAUUUUUGGGCUUAUUAUUUAUAAGUCGUGGAUAAUUGUAAUGGAAUAAUUUGGUUACUUAUAUAUGAUAUCAUUGGAUGUUUUCCCAUUUUAA